rnacentral:rRNA from 1 species
UGGGAUAUAUAACAAUACUUUUACAAUGAAGAGUUUGAUCCUGGCUCAGGAUGAACGCUAGCUACAGGCUUAACACAUGCAAGUCGAGGGGCAUCAGGAAGAAAGCUUGCUUUCUUUGCUGGCGACCGGCGCACGGGUGAGUAACACGUAUCCAACCUGCCCUUUACUCGGGGAUAGCCUUUCGAAAGAAAGAUUAAUACCCGAUAGCAUAAUGAUUCCGCAUGGUUUCAUUAUUAAAGGAUUCCGGUAAAGGAUGGGGAUGCGUUCCAUUAGGUUGUUGGUGAGGUAACGGCUCACCAAGCCUUCGAUGGAUAGGGGUUCUGAGAGGAAGGUCCCCCACAUUGGAACUGAGACACGGUCCAAACUCCUACGGGAGGCAGCAGUGAGGAAUAUUGGUCAAUGGGCGCUAGCCUGAACCAGCCAAGUAGCGUGAAGGAUGAAGGCUCUAUGGGUCGUAAACUUCUUUUAUAUAAGAAUAAAGUGCAGUAUGUAUACUGUUUUGUAUGUAUUAUAUGAAUAAGGAUCGGCUAACUCCGUGCCAGCAGCCGCGGUAAUACGGAGGAUCCGAGCGUUAUCCGGAUUUAUUGGGUUUAAAGGGAGCGUAGGUGGACUGGUAAGUCAGUUGUGAAAGUUUGCGGCUCAACCGUAAAAUUGCAGUUGAUACUGUCAGUCUUGAGUACAGUAGAGGUGGGCGGAAUUCGUGGUGUAGCGGUGAAAUGCUUAGAUAUCACGAAGAACUCCGAUUGCGAAGGCAGCUCACUGGACUGCAACUGACACUGAUGCUCGAAAGUGUGGGUAUCAAACAGGAUUAGAUACCCUGGUAGUCCACACAGUAAACGAUGAAUACUCGCUGUUUGCGAUAUACAGUAAGCGGCCAAGCGAAAGCAUUAAGUAUUCCACCUGGGGAGUACGCCGGCAACGGUGAAACUCAAAGGAAUUGACGGGGGCCCGCACAAGCGGAGGAACAUGUGGUUUAAUUCGAUGAUACGCGAGGAACCUUACCCGGGCUUAAAUUGCAGUGGAAUGAUGUGGAAACAUGUCAGUGAGCAAUCACCGCUGUGAAGGUGCUGCAUGGUUGUCGUCAGCUCGUGCCGUGAGGUGUCGGCUUAAGUGCCAUAACGAGCGCAACCCUUAUCUUCAGUUACUAACAGGUUAUGCUGAGGACUCUGGAGAGACUGCCGUCGUAAGAUGUGAGGAAGGUGGGGAUGACGUCAAAUCAGCACGGCCCUUACGUCCGGGGCUACACACGUGUUACAAUGGGGGGUACAGAAGGCAGCUAGCGGGUGACCGUAUGCUAAUCCCAAAAUCCUCUCUCAGUUCGGAUCGAAGUCUGCAACCCGACUUCGUGAAGCUGGAUUCGCUAGUAAUCGCGCAUCAGCCACGGCGCGGUGAAUACGUUCCCGGGCCUUGUACACACCGCCCGUCAAGCCAUGGGAGCCGGGGGUACCUGAAGUACGUAACCGCAAGGAUCGUCCUAGGGUAAAACUGGUGACUGGGGCUAAGUCGUAACAAGGUAGCCGUACCGGAAGGUGCGGCUGGAACACC